UAUUAUAGAAUCGGUGUCGAUUCGAUCGACAUGAGUCAUCAAAAAGUUAAAACAUAGUGUUCACGUUUCCUUUUUCGCCCGAUGUAAAAUUUCGGUUGUCAACCUGAAACUUAAAACACAAUGGCCAUUACGGCUUUAUCAGCCAUCAUCAGGUGAUUAUAAAAAACGAAGGACAAACUAAUCUUUUUUAUGGAGACUUUUUUAUAAUCACCUGAUGAUGGCUGAUAAAGCCGAAAUGGCCAUCGUGUUUUAAGUUUUAGGUUGACAACCGAAAUUUUACAUCGGGCGAAAAAGGAAGAGUGAGUACUACUUUUUAACUUUUGGAUGACUCAUGUCGAUCGAAUCGACACCGAUUCUUUAAUAAUUAAUACAUCGAAUCGGUAUCGUGAAAAAACGUGAACCGAUCGACAAAUCCGCGAUUCGAUCGACAAAUCCGUGAUUCGGUCGACAAAUCCGUGAUUCGAUCGACAAAUCUGCGAUUCGAUCGACAAAUCCGUGAUUCGGUCGACAAAUCCGUGAUUCGGUCGACAAAUCCGUGAUUCGAUCGACAAAUCCGUGAUUCGAUCGGCAAAUCCGUGAUUCGAUCGACAAAUCCGUGAUUCGAUCGAAUCGGUGUCGAUCGAUUCAUGUCGAUCGAAUCCAUACCCUCCAUCAAAAACACGAUUCUGUGACCAGCGAAACUGACCCAUUUGCAGAAGCCACCUUCGUACCAGGAAUCCUUGGCCCGUCGGGCUUUAUCACUCAGCGGCAGUUGCAGGAGCCUCUCGCGACAAUCUCUUUUAUCGGAUAUGCGGACUGCCAACAACAAAUGUAGCAGGGCCUUCGCCCAUCUGGACGAAUCCGGAUACAACGUCUGCAACAAUGGGAUAGACGCCAGGUGCCGCUUUAUCCAGCUUCCUGGGGGAGCUGAGACUUCCCUCUGUACCAUCCACCUCUCGGUCCCCAAUGUGAUCAGGUCCCUCGAGGACUGCGCGCCGGCCCUCGGACGUCCAACCUUUGGUCCUGGCGAGGAGAGCACCACAACCACCACCCCCAGCGUCCCUUUGACGGGUGGAAUCGCUAGGAUGUUGUGUUUUACAACACCCAGGAUGCAGACCGAGGAUCCCAGGAAGAAACGUCGCUUAUCCCCAUCAUUCCCUGCACCCCCUGCACCCCCUGCACCCCCUGCACCCUUUGCACCCCCUGCAAUCCUAGACUCCUCUUGGGCUCCUACAAUGCCGGGGACCCCUAUGGUUAAAAAAUCCAAUACCCGUCCUAGAAAUGCGGAUGCUACGUUACGAGGAGGUCGAUCCCGUCGUCAACGUACUUUACCUCCUGGAGUUCAGUAUCCAAGACCUCCGCCCGGACUCCUCGAUGAUCCCAAUUUUAGUAUAGCUGAUCUGGAUGGUGCAGAAUCGCAGUACACUAUGGAAGUACGCAAUCCGGAACCCGGAUCCGAGACUGGAAACUUCAGUGGUUCUCGUGGUGUGAAUGAGGCAGCUCCCGCUCCGCAACGGAAAGAGAAAGGCAAAAAAAGCUCCUAG
rnacentral:lncRNA from 1 species